GGAAGGUUAUUUUAUGCCUUGCUGAUAAAGAUGAAGAAAUAUGGAGGCUCUAAUUAGCAAAAUGAAAACCAGUUAAGAUGGAAACAGGAACAGAGGAAGAGCUGGUGAGUUGUGAGCCUCCUCCC